ACAAGCUGACGGCGUUUUUCAUCGUAUUUGUGAGUUCCGGUCUUUCAGCACCAUUCCUGAUUACCCGUCACCAGCUUCUCAAAAAGUAAAUUGCAACUUCAAAAUGUAAGAAAAAAUGCUUUAGGUUAAGAUAGAAAAAAUUAUUUAAUCACAUUAAACUUUUAGGAGUGAA